AUCUAACUGACGAAUCUCAAAUAGGAUGAAACAUGUGUCCUGUAU
rnacentral:hammerhead_ribozyme from 1 species